UACGAAGGGGGCUAGCGUUACUCGGAUUGACUGGGCGUAAAGGGCGCGUAGGCGGCUUGUACAGUCAGACGUGAAAUUCCUGGGCUCAACCUGGGGGCUGCGUUUGAUACGUGCGGGCUUGAGUUCGGAAGAGGGUCGUGGAAUUCCCAGUGUAGAGGUGAAAUUCGUAGAUAGUUGGGAAGAACACCGGGUGGCGAAGGCGGCGACCUGGUCCGAUACUGACGCUGAGGCGCGAAGCGUGGGGAGCAAACAGG
rnacentral:rRNA from 1 species